GCCUUCGUGGUGUACUGGUCAGCACGCUCGACUCGUAUUCGAGAGGUCUAUGGUUCGAGUCCCGGCGAGGGCA
rfam:Stegodyphus mimosarum contig101533, whole genome shotgun sequence.